GGUGACAGAGUGAGACUUUCAAACAAAAAAAAAAAGAAUUGAUUAUCGAGUCAUAGUUGUUUUUAAACCUCCUAACACAAGGGUCAUGGUGUAUGUGGUCUUCUGUGACUAGGUUUUAGGUUUUGUUUUUUAACUCUCCACAGAUGAGUCUUGAUUUUACCUGAAGUGAGAUUGACUCCGGGCACUUUGGUAGUGUCUGGAGACAUUUUUGGCUGUCACAACUGGUGGAGAGGGUGCUGUGGCUCCAGGUAUGCUGCGAAACGUCCCACAACCCACAGGACGGGCCCCAUCACGAGGGGUGCACUGGCCUCCAAUGUCCGUAGUCCCAAGAGACGCGAAGACGCACGUCCGCGCAAGAACUUGUACACAAAUGUGCAUAGCAGCGUUAUUCACAGGAGCCAAGAAGUGAAAACAGCCCGAAAGUCCACCCGCUGACGACUCCAUAAACCACACAUGGUCUGUCCAUGCAAUGGAAUAUGACCAGCCACAAAACAGAUUCAGCACUGACACGCUACAAAGUGGACAAACCUCGAAACAUGAUGCAGAGUGAAAGACGCCAGACACCGAAGGCCACACAGUGUCCGGUCCCAUUUCUAUGGAAAGCCCAGACCAGGCGGACCCGUAGAGCUGUACAGUAGGUUGGUGUUUGCCAGGGGCCGGGGGAGAAAGGAACAGGGGGUGACUGCGCAUGGAACAGGGUUUCGUUUGUGCUUUUUUUUUUUGAGAUGGUGUUUCACUCUUGUUGCCCAGGUUGGGGUGCAAUGGUGUGAUCUCAGCUCACUGCAACCUCGGCCUCCCAGAUUCAAGCGAUUCUCCCGCCUCAGCCCCCAAGUAGCUGGGAUUACAGGCAUGCACCACCACGCUCAACUAAAUUUUUUUUUUUUUUUUUUUUUUUUAGUAGAGAUGGGGGUUUCACCAUGUUAGUCAGGCUGGUCUCAAACUCCUGACCUCAGGUGAUCCACCCACCUCAGCCUCUUCUAAGUGCUGGGAUUGCAGGUGUGCACCACUGCUCCCGGCCCUUUUUUUUUUUUUUUUUUUUUUUGGACAGGAUUUCACUCCCAUCACCCAGGCUGGAGAGCAGUGGUAUGAUCUCAGCUCACUGCAGCCUCUGCCUCCUGGGCUCAGGUGAUCCUGUUGCCUCAGGCUCCUGUGUAGCUGAGACCACAGGCACACACCACCAUGCCCAGCUAACUUGUGUAAUUUUUGUAUAGAUGGGGUCUCGACAUGUUGCCCAGGGUGAUGUUGUACUCCUAAGCUCAAGUGAUCCUCCCACCUAAGCCUCCUGAAAUGCUGGGAUCACAGGCGUGAGCCACCGCGCCUGCCUGGGUUUCCUUUUGAGGCUUGAAGAUGCUGCUGCUGCACACAUUCUUAGUCAUGUCGCCUGGGACGCACGUUCAAGAAUUCUGCCUUGGCGCACACCAAAGAGAAAAAUUACUGAGUCUUCAAGAACAGGAAAGCUCCACUUUACUGGAAAAUGUUGGCAUUAUGUUGAGUACUUGCUACUUGCACCCGGCACUGGGCUAGAUAGCGACCUAUUUUCUCAUGUAAUUGUCCCUGCACUAGUAUUCUUGGGUCCAUUUUAGAGAUGAGGAAACUGAGACUCAGAGAGGGGGAUUAACUGGCCUGGCCCAAAAGUGGCAGAACAGCCUUAAGCUCUUGGCCACUCAUCCUACAGCUCACUCCCGUCACUCCCCUUGGAGCCUGAGAGACGGUUCCCCAAACAGGCACACUGCAGGCAGCGGGGCGGGGAGGGGGCUUGGCAGAAGCCACGGACAUCCCCCCCGGCAAUGGCCUUUGAAUAAUUCACCAGCCGCUUCCAGCCCAGCCCAGUGGUAAACACUUGUUUAGAAAGUAACCAAGAGCCUCCAACAGGUUUCCCAGAAUGUGGCCUGCUGAAAUUUCUGGAACCCCUGGCAAGCCUACAUAACAAAUCCCAGCCACCUAUGCCCUCAGGUACACAGAACCGUCCACCACCCCAAUGCCUCCUGCCUGCCCUGUGUCCAAACUUCAAAAAGUGCCUGCACACCCACACAGAGAGGAAAAGCACAGCUACAGCGCAUGCAGGUCUGCAAGCCGCCAACCUGGUUCCCAGCAGAGAGGAAAAGCACAGCCACAGUGCAUGCGGGGUCUGCAAACCACCAACCUGGUUCCCAGCAGAGAGGAAUAGCACAGCCACAGCGUAUGCGGGUCUGCAAACCGCCAACCUGGUUCCCAGCAGAGAGGAAUAGCAUAGCCACAGUGUAUGCGGGUCUACAAACCGCCAACCUGGUUCCCGAUGCCAGUUUUACUGUGAACUUGCUCUGUGACCACAGGGCAGUGACCUGACCUCUCUGAGCUCCAGUCUCCUCACUUAAUAUAAGAGGGAUAUCAAGGCAACAUGCAUACAUGUCAGGCCGCAAACCCCGAUCUGCAAGAUAUAACUGAUUUUUAUUUCUUUCCAAUUGACUGGGGGCUGAUUCCAAACCCCAUCCUCCCAGGAUGAAGGAAGAUUCAGUCUCAGGAUUGGGGCUCCUCCAUGCUGGGUCGGAUCAAAGACCAAAUGUCCAUGAGGUCCCUCCAGUCACUGGUUCCCCUGGGCACCCUGGAGAGACCUGGGAUGGGGAAUGGGGACUGUGAAGUGGUCCUUUCUGGGGUGAAGGGGGCGGGCCUUGUCUGUCCUGGAACUCUUGGCUUAGGGCGCCCUCUUCCUGGUGCAGGACACAAAUUCUAGACCCCUCACCUCCAGAGCAUUGCGGCAGAACCAGGUCACCAGGCCUGCCUCACUACCUGCUCCCAGCACACGAAAAUCUCGCUCCCUCUCUCCAUUUCCCUCCAGAACCAGCAACAGCUUUCCUCGCAAGCUCAGGUGUGACCAACGUGUAGUUCUCCUGUUCUGUGGGAGUAAAACUGGCUGGGCACACGGCCACAAAGCCUGAGACCCGGAGACCUCGCUCCCCCUUCCCUUGCUUCUGCUGGAAUGUGAAUGGAAGUGUCCACACCUGCUUCACGGGCUUCUCCCUCUCCCCCUUUCUGAGAGCUGGAAUGUGGGUCUGGUUUUAACACUGCUUCAACCACGCCAUGAGGACCAUAUCCAGGCGGGAUGGACGACAGGAUGGAAGGGGCUGGGCCCCAAUUACUGUAAGGCAAAGCUCCUGGCCGUCCUGACGGCCCGCCUCCGUCAGCCCUCUUACAGUAGAGAGAAACAAGCUUCUCUCUUGCUUUAGCCAAUGUUGCAUUGGAGUUUCUCUUCUUUCUCUCUCUCUUUUUGUUUUGUUUUGUUUGUUUUUGAGACAAGGUCUUGCUCUGUCGCCCAGGCUGGAGUUCAAUGGCUCUAUCAUAGCUCACUGCCACCUUGACCUCCUGCCUCAGCCUCCCAAGUAGCUGGGACUGCUGGUGUGUGCCACCAUGCCCACGUCCAGCUAAAUUUUUUUUGUAUUUUUUGUAGAGACAGGGUCUCACUAUGUUGCCCAGGCUGGUUUCAAACUCCUGGCCUCUAGUGAUCCUCCUACCUCAACCUCCCAAAGCACUGAGAUUACAGACAUGAGCCACCGUGCCCAGCCUGGAGUUUCUUUGUUACAGCAGCUGAAUCUAUACCCUGACUAAUACAUCGAGUUUUCACAAAAGGCCAGUAUAGAUGGACUAUCUUCCAGAGGCUUCUCAUCUCUGCCCAGAAAAACAAAUAUCGAGGAAAGGGCUGGAUGUUGCCUUGGAAUUGAGGGAGGGAAAUCACAGGGUGAAUAAACACAGAUGACUAUCUCAGUAAAGAACCUGCUUACCACAGUGCCUUCCUUGGGGGGUGGUUUGAAGGACCCCCAGGGACUGAUGCAUACAAGACAGCCGGCUCCUGAGGCCUGGGGCACAGCGAGCGCCGACUGCCAGAAAACACCGUGGCCGCGGGGCGGCUGCACUGAGCCUUGUCAAUAGUGAGCACUUUGCCGUGAGCCCUGUCUGGCUUACAACCUGGCAUGUGGGCUUGGGCAAGUCAUUUCAUAGUUGCCACAAAUAAUUACCGAGCACCUACUGUAUGCCAGGCACCAAAUAAUUACUGAGCACCUACUGUAUGCCAGGCACCAAAUAAUUACUGAGCACCUACUGUAUGCCAGUUCUGGAAGCUGGAGACGAAGUGGGGAGUGAGAAAUACCUAGUCUCUGCCCUCUCUGACUCAGCUUUGACUAUCUUGAGAGGUGCCAGCCCAGGGGUUCUUUGAGUGCCAGGCUGACCAGCUUCAAUGCCCUGCAGCAGGCACUCAAGUUCACAGCAGAUGGAGUGAUGUGGCAGAGGCACAAGGAAAAUGAUUAAUCUGGCAGCGAAAAACAGAAUGGAUUCGGCUCAGAUGAUUAGCAGCCCCAGGAGGGACAAGGAAAAAAAAAAAAAAACCCUGACUCUACGAUGGCUCAGCAGAACUGCUCUCUCUAAUAAAUAAUAAUUCUCCAGCUUUCCUGCUAACAGUCACAGGCAGGAUUUCUCAUCUCUAUGCCCGUCCCCCACCAGAAGUCAGGCAUGGCCGUGUGGCUUGCCUGGGCCAAUGAGAUGUCAGCAGAAGUGAUGUAAGUUGCAUCUAAGAAGAAGCUCUAAGAAGCAGUGCACAGCCUGCCUCAAGCCCGAUGAUGCUCCACAUGGCAGAGGCCCCCUCUGCAUCCCAGAGUGAGAAGACAUGGCACAGAGCCCAUUGCCAACACACAGCAGACACAUAGCACGGGUGAGAGACAAACGUUGGUUGUUAGAAAACCAUGAGAUUUUGGAGUUGUUUGUUACUGCAACACAACUGAGCCGAUACUGACUGAUACAUCUCCGUUUCACAGGUGAGGAAACAAAGUGUGGAAGAGAUCACCAAGGUUACCCAAAGUCAAACACAGAGUAGAGGCACAGACAAGACUCAAAGACAGGUCUGCCCUUUGCUGCAACCCUCCAUUCUGAACAAACCCAGCCAAGCCCCUUACUGCUAACCACUUCAAUUAAAGCCAAUGUCAAGGCCUCCUGGUUUCUAAAUGAACAGCCCUGAUCAUGUUCGUUAAAGGCCCUGUCUGCACAGACUGCUCAUUUUAUCCGAAGCCGCCAACAAGAUAAAUGGCCCUGUAACUUAUUGUUCUGCUGCAAAGCACCUCACGGCAAGCGGCGGCACAGAUGCCAGGAAUAAAUCACAUCUGAUCUUCCGAGAGCCAGGCAGAGCGCCCACGAGGAGUGUCGGAGGCAGGGGAGGUUGGCACAGCCCUGGACCUUGGGGGUUGGAGCAGCCCUGGACCUUGGGGGGAUUCACUAAGGAGCAGAGAGCUGCAGGGGUCUUUAUUAGGGCCCCGGAGCUCUGGAGUAUACAUUGUUCUUUUUUAUCGGCCCAGCACCUAUUUCCCCUUCUUGGGGUUUAAUAGCACCCCUUUUUCUCUGGGAAAACCAUCUCUCCUCCGCUCUCAGUCUGUCUGGUUCCGAUGGGGUCAUCCCUUCUCCCAGUUACAGGGAGGAGCAUGAACACGUGACCUACCCUGGUCAAUCAGAGCUUCACAUUCUUUUGCAGCCAUGACUAGCUCAGAGCAGGCAGGUGACCCACACCAGGCUGAUGGGACCCAAACCUCAGACUUCUGCUGAAACUCUAGGAAAAAAGGAGUUCUCUCUUCUAACAGGUUGCUCACAGAAGGAACUUUUCCGUUGAAUUACCUCAGUUUCUAGCACAAUUACAGGCACAUGGUAGGUGCUUGGUAAAAAUGGGCUGGAUGAAUGAACAAUCCACCUGGAGUUAGCACAGCUGGCUUCUUGUCUGGGCGCAGCCAUCUCUAACUUCAAGACAGCUUCUUCACCUCUGCAGGUCUCAGUUUUCUUGCCUAUAAAAAGGCAUUAAUAACAGCACUUAGCAGUAGCUGAUUAUAUCAGUUAGCUAUUGCUGCCGACAUGCUGCGUAACAAAAGAUUCCCACCUGCAAUCACUCAUUAUCAUUUCCGUGUCUGCCAGUUGGCUGGGAGUCACCUGAUCCAGGCUGGGCUGGGCUGCCCACCUGUCUCUCUUCCUCUUUGGAUCAGCAAGUUAACCCAGGGCCUGUUUGUCUCACCCAGUGACAGAGGCACAGCAUAAUACAAGGUCCCUGAAGGGAUAGGGCCAAUACUAGCACAGCCUCAUUUCCAUUGCCUUCUUAUGGCCAAAGCAAGUCACAUGGCCAGACCUAAAGUCAAGAGGUGGGGAAAUGCACUCUACUUCUUUGCCACCCGGUAAAGGGCACAGAUGUGGGGGGUGGUGAGGAAUUGAGGCUGGCUGUGUACCCCCACAAUGCCAUUGUCUGUGCCUUGAUGUUGACUUGAUCCGUGUCCACCUCCUUCUCCACUAGAAUAAACCUCGGAGCACCUGGAU
rnacentral:lncRNA from 1 species